GACGAACGCUGGCGGCGUGCCUAAUACAUGCAAGUUGAGCGAUGAAGAUUGGUGCUUGCACCAAUUUGAAGAGCAGCGAACGGGUGAGUAACGCGUGGGGAAUCUGCCUUUGAGCGGGGGACAACAUUUGGAAACGAAUGCUAAUACCGCAUAACAACUUUAAACAUAAGUUUUAAGUUUGAAAGAUGCAAUUGCAUCACUCAAAGAUGAUCCCGCGUUGUAUUAGCUAGUUGGUGAGGUAAAGGCUCACCAAGGCGAUGAUACAUAGCCGACCUGAGAGGGUGAUCGGCCACAUUGGGACUGUGACACGGCCCACACUCCUACGGGAGGCAGCAGUAGGGAAUCUUCGGCAAUGGACGAAAGUCUGACCGAGCAACGCCGCGUGAGUGAAGAAGGUUUUCGGAUCGUAAAACUCGGUUGGUAGAGAAGAACGUUGGUGAGGGUGGAAAGCUCAUCAAGUGACGGUAACUACCCAGAAAGGGACGGCUAACUACGUG
rnacentral:rRNA from 1 species